rnacentral:piRNA from 1 species
UGGGUGUGUAACAGCAGCUCUCCC